GCGUGAGUGAUGAAGGCCUUCGGGUCGUAAAGCUCUGUCAGAGGGGAAGAACCUCCUGUCGGUUAAUACCCGACGGGCCUGACGGUACCCUCAAAGGAAGCACCGGCUAACUCCGUGCCAGCAGCCGCGGUAAUACGGAGGGUGCAAGCGUUGUUCGGAAUUAUUGGGCGUAAAGCGCGUGCAGGCGGCUUGCUAAGUCUGAUGUGAAAGCCCCGGGCUUAACCUGGGAAGUGCAUUGGAAACUGGCAAACUUGAGUACGGGAGAGGGAAGUGGAAUUCCGAGUGUAGGGGUGAAAUCCGU
rnacentral:rRNA from 1 species